AGUAGCUCAGCUGGAUAGAGCAUCGGCCUUCUAAGCCGAGGGUCGGGGGUUCGAGUCCCUCCUG
rnacentral:tRNA from 1 species